AGGAAGGAUGGGGAACUGGAGCCAGCAGGUGGCUGGGUGAACCUGGGGCCUGAAUUCAGUGCAGCUUUCCAGGUGCCUGGUGCCAAGGAUGCCACCUGCAGUCACUGGAGCCACUGGACACGAGGGUAACUUAGGACCUGUGUUCACAGGAGCCCGUGUGCUUGGAGCUUGGGUGCAACAGGGACCUGUAUUCCCAGGAACCUCUAGGGGGCGCAGCCAUGGGCGGGGCCUGGGUCGCUGGAAAAGACCGACUUCCCGAUGAGUGGGUUUCCAGUUGUGGAGGCUUCUGGGAACUUGGUGCUGAGGAGGACUCCUUGGGCCGCUGGAGGAGAUUCAAGACAUAAACUGUAGGCUGCAUAGAUACCUGAGAAAAGCAUGGGACAAAGUCUUGUUUGCAUGGAAAAGGGGCCGCUUAUCUUCCUUCCCAGCUCUGGACGUCCGCUCAUGAGGAACCUGGCUACACGUAGAGAGACAUGCGCACUCGCAGCCGCCCUCCCAGCAGCGCUGCUCACCAGGGCUAACGCCCGCGAUUCCGCGCCUGAACUACCGGCAUAGACGGAUCACGGACAGUGAGGGGAUUUUCCUGACCCAGGGAUCGAACCCAGGUCUCCUGUAUUGCGGGCAGACGCUUUACCCUCUGAGUUACCAGGGAAGACC
ensembl:lncRNA